rnacentral:rRNA from 1 species
CAUGCAGGCGGUUAUACAAGUAGGAUGUGAAAGCCUGGGGCUCAACCUCAGAACUGCAUUCUAAACUGUGUGACUAGAGUAUUGCAGGGGGAGACGGAAUUUCAGGUGUAGCGGUGGGAUGCGUAGAUAUCUGAAAGAACACCAAAGGCGAAGGCAGUCUCCUGGGCAAAUACUGACGCUCAUAUGCGAAAGCGUGGGUAGCAAACA